GGCGUGGUAGCAAAGUGGUUAAUGCGAUUGACUAGAAUAUCCGUCAUCACAUGUCGGAUUACGUGAUCAAUUCCCUUCGGGGGCGCAGGUUCGAGUCCUGCCCACGUCG